UCAGCGACUUAUAUUCUGUAGCAAGGUUAACCGAAUAGGGGAGCCGAAGGGAAACCGAGUCUUAACUGGGCGUUAAGUUGCAGGGUAUAGACCCGAAACCCGGUGAUCUAGCCAUGGGCAGGUUGAAGGUUGGGUAACACUAACUGGAGGACCGAACCGACUAAUGUUGAAAAAUUAGCGGAUGACUUGUGGCUGGGGGUGAAAGGCCAAUCAAACCGGGAGAUAGCUGGUUCUCCCCGAAAGCUAUUUAGGUAGCGCCUCGUGAAUUCAUCUCCGGGGGUAGAGCACUGUUUCGGCAAGGGGGUCAUCCCGACUUACCAACCCGAUGCAAACUGCGAAUACCGGAGAAUGUUAUCACGGGAGACACACGGCGGGUGCUAACGUCCGUCGUGAAGAGGGAAACAACCCAGACCGCCAGCUAAGGUCCCAAAGUCAUGGUUAAGUGGGAAACGAUGUGGGAAGGCCCAGACAGCCAGGAUGUUGGCUUAGAAGCAGCCAUCAUUUAAAGAAAGCGUAAUAGCUCACUGGUCGAGUCGGCCUGCGCG
rnacentral:rRNA from 1 species